UGGGAACCUGCCUUGGAGUGGGGAUAACCACUGGAAACGGUGGCUAAUACCGCAUGUGCCCCGAGGGCAAAGGCUUCGUGUCGCUCCGAGAGGGGCCCGCGUCCGAUUAGCUUGUUGGUGGGUAACGGCCUACCAAGGCAGCGAUCGGUAGCU
rnacentral:rRNA from 1 species